ensembl:lncRNA
AUGGAUGAGGAAAGCUUGCAACCCCGACUUGAGGAAACUGUUGUACAGUCAUCAUUGCCUCAGUCUGAAACCCAUGAGGACAAUCAACAAGAAGCAGAAGACCAGUCUGAAAAAACAAAGGAGGAGGAAGGAACAGAGGCUGAGAUUUCUUCUGGGAGAAUGCACGGAAGUUUAACUCAUAUAGAGGGUCGUUUAGAAAGUAAUGUCAUACAAAAUGAGGAUUCAUUGGUUGAAGUCAGCUUUGAAGAUGUUCCAGAGGCUCGGCAGAUUAAAGAGGUUGGGGAGAAUCAGCCAGAGGACGAGGAUUCAGUGGAGCAGACUAAGAUAUUAGAAAUACAACAGGAGGAGGAAUCCAAGGAAGUUACAUCAGUGGCAACACACCAAAAUAUAUCAGGUUCACAAGACCACAAUGAGCCGGAAAUGGUUAGAGUUGAAGAGGAAGUUAACCCUGAAGGGGAAGAAAUGGAAAGUCAGCAUGAAGUAUUUGAUAUAAGGAAUGAGAAGGUGGACACAAAUGACUCUAAUUUAAAUGAUAGUGAGGAUGAUGAGCCUGGAGAAGGUGUUAAAACCAUCAGCUCAUCACAUCAGCCCACCUCCGAGGCAGACGAAAAGAACAAGGAGGAUGAAACCGAUCAUGAAAAUGAAGAUAACAAGAAGAUAAGUGAAGGCGAAUUUCACCAGAGCAAGUCGAACGACACUGGCUUUAAAGAAGAGGGAACAACAAACUCAGUAGGAGGAGACAAAGAGGACAUAUGUGAGGUGGAGGAUCAAGAAAUGAAUGAUGGUGGUGCUGAGAAUCAUUUAUCACAAUUAACCCAGUCAAAUAUAUUAACUGCUGCAGCGGAGGCAGAGAGUGAAACUUUAGAGGCAAGUGCGCAACAUCUACCAGAGGAGAACGAGGAGAGUCAGAGACCACUUGUAGAGUCACAGGCAGAGGAUACAGUGGUACAAAAAGAGGACACAUCACAGGAGAGAACAUCAAAAGCAGGGGGACUUGUUGAAGAAGAAAAGAUUGAUUCUGAAAUACAAGAGAAGAGUGAUGCAAUGUGUGAAGAGAGCAACAUCAGUCCCACUCAAAGUGCAGAUCAGCCGGCUGCUGACCACCAAGGGGAGGAAAGGCCACUUGAGUCUGAAGGCGACAGUGGUGACAAGGUAAAGUUUGAUGCUUCUUCUCAGUGA